rnacentral:rRNA from 1 species
CAGGCUUAACACAUGCAAGUCGAGGGGCAGCAUGGUCUUAGCUUGCUAAGGCCGAUGGCGACCGGCGCACGGGUGAGUAACACGUAUCCAACCUGCCGUCUACUCUUGGACAGCCUUCUGAAAGGAAGAUUAAUACAAGAUGGCAUCAUGAGUCCGCAUGUUCACAUGAUUAAAGGUAUUCCGGUAGACGAUGGGGAUGCGUUCCAUUAGAUAGUAGGCGGGGUAACGGCCCACCUAGUCUUCGAUGGAUAGGGGUUCUGAGAGGAAGGUCCCCCACAUUGGAACUGAGACACGGUCCAAACUCCUACGGGAGGCAGCAGUGAGGAAUAUUGGUCAAUGGGCGAGAGCCUGAACCAGCCAAGUAGCGUGAAGGAUGACUGCCCUAUGGGUUGUAAACUUCUUUUAUAAAGGAAUAAAGUCGGGUAUGGAUACCCGUUUGCAUGUACUUUAUGAAUAAGGAUCGGCUAACUCCGCGCCAGCAGCCGCGGUAAUACGGAGGAUCCGAGCGUUAUCCGGAUUUAUUGGGUUUAAAGGGAGCGUAGAUGGAUGUUUAAGUCAGUUGUGAAAGUUUGCGGCUCAACCGUAAAAUUGCAGUUGAUACUGGAUAUCUUGAGUGCAGUUGAGGCAGGCGGAAUUCGUGGUGUAGCGGUGAAAUGCUUAGAUAUCACGAAGAACUCCGAUUGCGAAGGCAGCCUGCUAAGCUGCAACUGACAUUGAGGCUCGAAAGUGUGGGUAUCAAACAGGAUUAGAUACCCUGGUAGUCCACACGGUAAACGAUGAAUACUCGCUGUUUGCGAUAUACUGCAAGCGGCCAAGCGAAAGCGUUAAGUAUUCCACCUGGGGAGUACGCCGGCAACGGUGAAACUCAAAGGAAUUGACGGGGGCCCGCACAAGCGGAGGAACAUGUGGUUUAAUUCGAUGAUACGCGAGGAACCUUACCCGGGCUUAAAUUGCAGAUGAAUUACGGUGAAAGCCGUAAGCCGCAAGGCAUCUGUGAAGGUGCUGCAUGGUUGUCGUCAGCUCGUGCCGUGAGGUGUCGGCUUAAGUGCCAUAACGAGCGCAACCCUUGUUGUCAGUUACUAACAGGUUCCGCUGAGGACUCUGACAAGACUGCCAUCGUAAGAUGUGAGGAAGGUGGGGAUGACGUCAAAUCAGCACGGCCCUUACGUCCGGGGCUACACACGUGUUACAAUGGGGGGUACAGAGGGCCGCUACCACGCGAGUGGAUGCCAAUCCCCAAAACCUCUCUCAGUUCGGACUGGAGUCUGCAACCCGACUCCACGAAGCUGGAUUCGCUAGUAAUCGCGCAUCAGCCACGGCGCGGUGAAUACGUUCCCGGGCCUUGUACACACCGCCCGUCAAGCCAUGGGAGCCGGGGGUACCUGAAGUGCGUAACCGCGGGGAGCGCCCUAGGGUAAAACUGGUGACUGG